UGGGGAAUUUUGGACAAUGGGCGAAAGCCUGAUCCAGCAAUGCCGCGUGUGUGAAGAAGGCCUUCGGGUUGUAAACCGCUUUUGUCAGGGAAGAAAUCUUCUGAGUUAAUACCUCGGGGAGGAUGACGGUACCUGAAGAAUAAGCACCGGCUAACUACGUGCCAGCAGCCGCGGUAAUACGUAGGGUGCAAGCGUUAAUCGGAAUUACUGGGCGUAAAGCGUGCGCAGGCGGUUUUGUAAGACAGAGGUGAAAUCCCCGGGCUCAACCUGGGAACUGCCUUUGUGACUGCAAGGCUUGAGUGCGGCAGAGGGGGGAUGGAAUUCCGCGUGUAGCAGUGAAAUGCGUAGAUAUGCGGAGGAACACCGAUGGCGAAGGCAAUCCCCUGGGCCUGCACUGACGCUCAUGCACGAAAGCGUGGGGAGCAAACAGGAUUAGAUACCCCUGGUAGUCCACGCCCUAAACGAUGUCAACUGGUUGUUGGGAAGGUUCCCUUCUCAGUAACGUAGCUAACGCGUGAAGUUGACCGCCUGGGGAGUACGGCCGCAA
rnacentral:rRNA from 1 species